GACGAACGCUGGCGGCGUGCCUAAUACAUGCAAGUCGAGCGAGACUCUUCGGAGUCUAGCGGCGGACGGGUGAGUAACACGUGGGCAACCUGCCUGUAAGACUGGGAUAACACCGGGAAACCGGUGCUAAUACCGGAUAAUCCUUUUCCUCUCAUGAGGAAAAGCUGAAAGUCGGUUUCGGCUGACACUUACAGAUGGGCCCGCGGCGCAUUAGCUAGUUGGUGAGGUAACGGCUCACCAAGGCGACGAUGCGUAGCCGACCUGAGAGGGUGAUCGGCCACACUGGGACUGAGACACGGCCCAGACUCCUACGGGAGGCAGCAGUAGGGAAUCUUCCACAAUGGACGAAAGUCUGACGGAGCAACGCCGCGUGAGCGAUGAAGGCCUUCGGGUCGUAAAGCUCUGUUGUUAGGGAAGAACAAGUACCGGGGUAACUGCCGGUACCUUGACGGUACCUAACCAGAAAGCCACGGCUAACUACGUGCCAGCAGCCGCAGUAACAC
rnacentral:rRNA from 1 species